rnacentral:tRNA from 1 species
UUCCUCGUAGUUUAAUGGAUAGAACGGCCCCCUCCUAAGGGGUCGGUACAGGUUCGAUUCCUGUCGGGGACGCCA